rnacentral:lncRNA from 1 species
CAGGUAGUACGGCUCCACAAACACAGGACUUGCCCAUAACUCUUACUAACGUAUUAUGUGAGACGCUGUUUUCCAAGAAGAAAUAAGAGAUGAAAUAGUAAAGAAGCCGUGUACCAUGUAUUUACUUCUUUAUAUACCAAGUGCUAAAACAAGGGAAGAAAGAUCAAUUGGAGUUUCAAGAGAAAGAGAGGGCGACUAUUAUUGGCAGCCUCAUCCUAUACACUCUAUUAUUGGCAGCCUCAUCCUAUACACUAUAGUCAAAAACUCCAUUCUUGACUUUGUCUACUUACGCUGAUACUGAAUUAGGCUACCAUGGAGCUCACCUUGAUGCGGCUUAUGGAACACCCGAUUUAGAGUUAGCAGAGAGGAGUUGAAUCCAGGGUUUACAUCGCUAAGUACGGGAAUGUUGGCGUGUCCCUGAGAAACUAAACACUCUGCUGAGCAAGUCAAGCCUGUUAAUUUGCUCUUUCUUUUGAAGGAAGCUAUUGUUGGAUGCAUAUCUUUAUUGAUUGCUAGUGCAUGUAUGUAUAAAUACGGAAUAAUAGAUAUAUAUAGGGAAUCGCACCCGGAUCGUUAGCUUGGAAGGCUAGGGUUAUUGUCGACGUUGCUUGAUAACUUUACACGUCUCUAAUUCGAAACCGAACGUUCAAGUUGGAUUGAAUUGGGCUCCCUUUAUGGAAGAUUGAUGUAUUCCUACUAGAGAACAUAUUAGAUCCAUCAUAUAUCUAUAUCCAUCAUAUAUCUAUUCUAUUAUACCAUCUCAUAUAUACCAUAAUAUAUCUAUUCUAUUAUAUUACAGCAUUUAUCUAUUUAUUAUAUGUAAGCCUUUCUGUCUGUCUGAAUGUAUCCAAAACGACUCGCUUACUAGAUGAUCCCUAAGGAGUAUAUUUCUAGGGAUUAUACCAAUCUGUCUAGUCUAGUUACUUCGUUCCCUAUUUCCACUCGCAGGAUCCCGAGGAAAAUCAAUGGGUUGCCCCCGAAACAAUAUGCUGAUGGUUCUAGUAAACAAAAACAACCCUGCUUGCUCUAGCUUGUUUGGCUUCAACCACAACAAAUAAGAUCUAGUGACGAUUGGAAAGAAACUCUUGUAUCAUAAAUCUAUAGAUCCUUUAUUCAUACUCAUUUCAAUUGGAAGAAAUUCUCCAAUUCCCAUUAUGUUUCACUACUCUAUAUUAUGUGUCACUACUCUAUAGAAUAUAGACCUAUAAGAAUCAUUUGAUUAUUCAUUCCAUUUCGAAAGUAGAAUUGAUAAUUGGACUUUGGAUACAAAUCGUGAGAAUGUAUGUUCUUCCUCAAAUAUGCUAUUGAGAGGUAAAGGCCCUUUUCUGAAAGAGGAGCAACGGUUUUGAUCGCUGAGUAUUCAAAAUGACUGAGGAUAGGACCCCUAAACUAUUGAAGUUGUUUGUUAAUAGAACGAAUCAAACUUUGACCACUAUACUAGACCCGCGACAUAUACAUAUUGUUAGAUGAAUGGACUCUUUGUCGAACAAGGGAAGGGAGUGAGAAGCAAUCAAGCAAGAUAGCAUCAAAAUGAUAGCGUUGACACAUAUUGAGUCUAUCUCUGGCUGGCAGCACUUCAAAGGCGAAGAGCACAAAGCUUUUCUAAUUCAAAUACACCAAUUUCAAAUAACAGUAGAAAGUAUGACUUAUAUUUAUUCUUUGCUGGAUUGCUGGCAUUCUCAGUCUGUCUGAAGGGGUCAUUGAAGCUGGACAAAAAGGAAGGAAGUAGUGGUCCUAGCCUAGUUAAGUACUGGCCGGGGGUUUAGUACAAAAUGAAAGAAUCAGCAAAUAGGUAGCCAAUGAACGACUUGGUUAUAAACUCCGUUAGCUGAGAAGACUGGAACUCAUGAAACUACCGCGCAACGUUAGUAGUUGCUUGGUGGCUUAAAGCACUGCCAACGAGAAUGUAACUAGUGGUACUCAGGCUGAUGCUGCUAAGUGAUAGAAGGGAGCUUAAUUACAGAAUGCAACUAGUGUCAAGUCAUAAUUCAGUGUUAGUUUAUAGAGCCAAAGUAAGGUACAGAAAUGCACCAAUCAUCCUUCAAGUUCACUUUUCGGGCCAUUAUGGAAUGUAGUUUGAGGCAAGGCAGGCUUUCUUUUCCAUACUUAUAUAUAUCAUAUCAUAGCUAUCCUUAUAUCUGAUUCCAUACUUAUUUAUAUCAUAUCAUCAUAGCUAUCCUUAUAUCUAUCUAUCUAUCUCCGUAUAUCUAUCUAUCUAUCUCCUUAUAUCUAUCUAUCUAUGGAUCUUUUGGGCACAGAUAUGAUGAUCUGGGGUCCAUUUCUCUUUAGCAACAGGUAUUGCUCUUUCUAAGUUCAAAUGCAUUAGAACAGCCUUUCUUUUAUUGCCUUUACAUACUCCUUGUGUCUCCUGUUUCUAUUCCAUUAGUUAAGUCAAAUAAAGAAUAUCUGAUAAUGUCACCUAACUCUCAACUCUCAACUUAGGAUUAUGAUUUAUUGAGUACACCCCUUUAUUAGUUAGUAACAACACUGCUUCCUCAACCCCUUCUAUUAGUUAGUAACAACACUGCUUCCUCAAAAAUCCUGAUAUAUUAUAUGCACUUAUUCUAUAAUGGAGUAAGAUAACACACACGAAACUCCAAAAUGACUAGAAUCUUGAAUAUCGGGGCACAGUCGUAAUAUAAGAUAUAUGAAUUACCUGUGCUCUGUACGCUAGACUUCAGCAAUAGGCACCAUUAUGUAAUCAUUCACCCGACGCCAAACCCAAUCAAUACUCACAGGAGGAGGCAGCUACAUAUACGUUAGCUCGGGCGCGCUCGUCCAAACAAUCUGAUGCACCUAGAAAAUGGGUACCUUCCUGAAACUACAUACCCUUCCGCGCAUAUAGCCAAUGUGAUCUACUCCCUUCCGCGCAUAUAGCCAAUGUGAUCUACUCUUCUUAUUCACUUUGCAAUCGUCUACUUCAUCUACUUAAUAGAAAACCCGCUAUAUAGAGACCCUUUAUGUAAUCUAUUCUAUCCCUACUACCCGUACGCCUUAAAUCACAUAUCCGCAACCCCAUCUACUAUACGGAAUUUACCCAGCAACUAACCCAAUACUCUCAAAAGGAAGAGCAAUGUCAAUUUACCCCCAUACUGACUCUAUAAAGGAAGAGGCAACGUAAUGGAAUUUACUACAGGACAGGAUAAGUGACUUCGCACAGCCCAUACUAAUACUAAUGGCGGAGGUCAAGCAAGUCAAGAAUACUAAUGGCAAAGGUCAAGCAAGCCCAUAAGAAAGUCUCUAAUGGUCAACUCUUUGUAAGUCAGAGAUGCCUAAUCUUCCUUGACAUUGAUAAUGAAGUAAGAAGGAGCCUACCCCUUUUCAUUGAGAAUUCAGUCAGAGAUGUCUUCGUCUUCCCUUUCAUUGAUAAUACGUACAAGCGCCUAUUCUACAGAAGCACACUCCUAACGAAAAUAGAAUAGAAUAUGAUGUGGUGCAUAGAUAGAAUAUCCGUUUUCUGGUAGUACAGGUCAUUCAAGCAUUUCUUUCCAUUCUUCUUUCUCCUUUCUUAGCAUAGGCCGACAAAUGGUGAGGAAGUAGUGUAUAAAGCCGUGUAGCAUGAAAUCUCUAUACUUUCUUCCCUUCUUUCUUCUGUGUGAAUGAAUCUCUCCCCCUUUGCUUAGCUACGGGCUUCUUUCUAGCUCAACUCACUAGCUUAGAGGCUCUUGGCGCAGCACUAAGCUUUCUUUCGGAGCACGCUACAUCUUUGCUUCCUUCCUUCCUUCAAGCUGCUCUUUCAAUAAAGCUAUAUUUCCUUAGUGAUUCGAGAAGGCUCAUGAGUCACUGCCCCUACCCUAGGAUGUAGCUAGUCUAGACUUCAAGUGAGUCUACCUCUUGCUCAUAGAUAGAUGGGCCCCCCGCACAGUACAAGAUGCUAACAAGUAUGUAUUUGCAAAGUGCUUCUUUUCUCUUUCUUAACAUGGUAUCGAUAGGUCGAUAGGAGAUGGUGGAAUUGGACUAUACGACUGGGGCUAGUCUAGAGCUAAUGAUUGAAGAUCGGUUAGGGUAAAAAGAGGGCUUACUCUUAUUGCACCGCUUACUGAUUCAAUUAGCUAGUCAAAGUAUAGAAGAGAGCUUCAUUCAAUUACUCCAAGCCAAGGAGUCAAGAAGACAUGGUAGAUGAAACUGAUCAUAUCCUUUCUUUCUUUACUUUAUGAUAGAAGCCUGAGUCGGGCCCCAAGGAAGGAAAAGAGCUAGCUGACUCCGCUUACUCAUCCAAGGGUCGAAGGUACUUCAUGCAUCGGCAUCAGCAAGGAUUUCUUUCCAGAAUAUGGGAUUGCUGCUGCUGUGAGUGAUCAGGCACAAUAUAGAAAGAAUGCAGGAUCAGCUCCGGGUCCUCUUAAGAAGGUCGGCCAGCUAACCAAAGCUCUUUCUUUUCCCAUAAGCAGUCUUCACGCACGGCUGACUCAAGCUCAAGCAUCGGGUAUGACUGCACAAAAGUUGUUGCUGUAGCUUCAUCCUCUGCUCCACUUCUAAGAACGAAACUCGGAUAUUCGAAUUGACCUCCCUCUCGCCUACCCGCCAACGAGCUUCAUUCAAGUCUUUAGCAGCCACGGUUGAAGUCUAGAAAUACACAGAAUUCACACCUAAGUAGCGCAAGAGCAAAAUCAAAUGCCCAGACGAAUCCAAGCGGAAGAGAUAAUCACUCUGCAAAUCAAAUAAUGAAAGCGUAGCAUGGGUAUCUGGCGUGUCUUUGGGGGUUAUGAGAAGAACCAACCCCGAAAUACUAACAAUCUGGGAAGCUACCUUACCUAAGAGCAGUUCUCUACAUAAAGAAUUGGGCUCGGACAUAGUAAUCAAAGCAUAGCAUGGAAAUGAACCCGGGGCAUAGGAAUGAGAUAGGGGAAACGUCAUGAACCAGUGGGUACGAAAUCCGACUAUAAAGUAAGAAAAUGCUUGAUACCAUCUAGAGGAAAGGAAUGAACCGACAACAACCAGGAACAGGAGCGAGGGGACACUUUAGCAUCACAUUAGUAGGAUCGAGCCAAGAAAAACCCCAGUGGACCUAUGACUAAACUCCUCUGCUCCCGAGCCUCCCCUUAUUUAUAGCUAACGCUAAAAACUGCAUUGAUGGACCACUCAUGAAUUCUUUCUUUGUCCGGUCGGUGGUGCAGCGCAGAGGCUACGUGCAUUGGUUGGUUAACUGAACCACCGGCAUAGACAUUGGCAUAGACAUUGGUUGGUCGCGCUAGUAGUAAUUUCUACACCGACAUAGAGAAACCGACAUAGGUAAAAACAAAGAAAAACUCACAACUAUUCUAUGAUCCAACAACAGAAAAACUCAUGACUAUUUGAUGAUACAAUUGAUGAUACAAAAAUAGAAAAGAAAGAAUGAGGCUUCAAGGCGGGGAUCCUAAGAGCGAAUCUACCGGGCAAGUACGAUUUGGUACGAUGAGUUAAUAUACUGUAAGUAAGGAUUGAGUCCUGUAGUAAAAGAAUGGGGUAGUGCCCGCACAGAUCAAACUAAUAAAAGUAGGGAUACCAGGAUACCAGGGACCUCAACCCUUGCUUAUUUGACUUCUUUAGAGACUCGUUCAAACUAACUUAGCCUUUAUCUAAGCUAAGCGUGCCUUCCCUUACUCUUUGUCUAUCUUUUUCAGCUACCUCCCUACUGCACUAGAACCUUGCACCAGUGUCUCUUAGCUUCUAUCCUAAGCCUAGAUCCCUUUGUUCCAAAUCUACCGUCUAAGCCUACCGCUGCUACCUCUAAAACGGACAUGCCUGUCUUGACUUCUGACAUUUGUACUACAGCUCCCACCUAGUGAAGGAUGUCCGCCCCUUAGUCCUUUCUUUGUUUAUACCAUUGGAUGUCGUCUGCCCCUUGUUUCUACUAUUUGAUGUCGUCCGCCCUUUCUUUCUACUAUACCCAAGGUUGUUUCUACUAUACCCAAGCAAGACCACGUUGUCCCUUGUUUCGCACGUCGACGGAGUUAAUGACCAUUGAUGCACGAACGGACGAAGACAAGACGGAGUUAAUGACCGAACCGACCGAGGUACUUUAUAUGCCCCGGGACAGACCUUCCUUGCAUGGGUGAAUGAGCGGUUCCACUACAAGAACGAGUGCUUUUACUUGAAUAAUGAGUCCUUUGCCAGUAGGCGCGAUGGUACACUUGCAACACCAGACACAGACUAAUUCGCGUGCUAUUUCAGGCUGGGCUAUGCGACUUGAGGACCUAUUGAUGUUACCUCAAUGACUGGGUGAAUGGUUGCUCACAGAAUAGGGGUGCUGCUCGACAGACUUCUUUAUUUGACUCGGGGACUGAGCUAUGUUACUAAAAGACUGUGCCCGUGGGGACGCCAGGAAGACUUAUGGAAUGGUCGCUAGCAGAUGGAUAGGUGAAUUAAUUAACAGGAGUAUAAUUCUCGUAGUAUAAUAAGAGAAUUCGUUAUUGUAUUUUGAAUGAACAAACAAGCAAAUCAAGUAAAGCACGUAGACCACACCUCGCAUCAAAGAAAGCCGGAGUAAUCUAGUAGGGCCCCUAAGAUUCUUUCCUCUUAUCUGUUUGUUCGUGAAGUCACUUCGUGCGUAUCAAACUCUAGGGAUCUUUCUCUUUCUUGCCAACCGCAUAGCCUCUGUCCUGAAAAUGGUAAAUACAGACUAGAAUGACUGUUAAUCAGAAUUGACUACUACCCGCCAAUAGAGGAAACUAGCAUCUAACUCAGUGAAUCAAACUCCAAAGUCAUAAUCAAAUCAUGGGCGUUAGGACGGAAUUACCCAGCGACGUACCAAACAAAGAAUAUGGAAUAACUGAGCAGCAACCAAGCCUUGCUUUUGCUUACAACUUCUUAGGUCUGAUGCCUUAUUUUCUUUCCUAAGUCUCGUAGUUACAAUACAUAAUGAAACUUAGUAGUACAGAGGCCUAUUUCACCAGUAGCCCAAGCCCUAUGUUGGUAUCCUUUUGACAAGCCCGCCUCUCCUAUACCAAGGGGGUAGCUCACUGCCGCUACACAUUAGUAGUGACUUGCCCUAUCCAAAUAUCUGUUAUUAUUAAGGUAAGGAAAACAGAUCAAACUAGGGAUGGCGCCUAGACUAUUGAUUUGAACUAUUGAUGUAUAACUAUUGAUUGAACUCUUUAGUGAGGGCUACGAUACCUAUGGCAACUACAUCUAUGGCAAUAAAUACUUAUCGGAGGAGUGAAAGAGGUGCGGUGCUCUAAGACUAGGAUGAAAGGCUUUCCCUAGUAGUGAGAUGUCAAUUCUAGUUUCCGUUUGGGUUCGGUGCUUGGCCUAUCUUAUCUCUGUGACUUGCCGAUUCCAUUUCUCUAGGUUCUCUAUUGACUCAUUGCCAGGGAGUUCUUUCGCUUUUGUCACUAAUCCAUAAAGAAUUGAGUGCCCUUGCCACUAACAGUGCUUUCAGCAGGCUGCUCACAGUGCUUUCAGCAGAAGAAAGAGAAGCAGAAUCAUUUGCCUAAGUAGUAGAACUCGAGAAGCCAGUCACUCAUUGAUAACCCAGUCACUUUAAAGGCGGGAGCGGUUCCGCAGAAUUAGCUACACCCCCAUCCUCUGAGAAACUUUACUUGACGCAUCCCUUUCUUUUGAAUCAGACUGGGGCUUGGCUUCCAUCGUCGACAACACCUUAACUUGCUUCUCUUCGCCCAUAAAGAUGUUAGGAAGAAAUGACUUAUAAGCUCUCUUAGUCGGAUUCACUUAGUUGCAGGUGCUAGUGUUGGAACGGUAAUUGGCUCGGCUUUCCCUUUUGUGAAGAUAAGUUCAAGGCUUUCCCUUUGCACCCGUUGCUUGGCUGUUUCUAGUUUAUUGAAUUUGAUUCUAAAUCUGUUCAACCCAAUAGAUUCUUAAGUAAACACCAUUCUUAUUGGCACUACCGGGACUCGAGUGAGAACACCCAUCUUUGCUGGCACUGCUUCUAUAUAGGAUUCCACUAGAACUUCGAUUUCUUCACCGAGAACCUGAACUAACUCUAGCCUCCUUGCCGACCUAUGCUAUGUCUUCAAAUGCAAUUCUUCACUGAGUCCCACUUUUGGUGUUCAUGGCGGCAGUAAAGUCUCUGCGGAUCGCCUUAGCAUUGAGUCUUCUGGUUUAUUGAAUUGAAACCCCUCCCCUACCUAUACAAGUUCCCGAGUUAAGAGUAGGAACAAUAUCAUCAGCCGGGUACGCUGCAAGGGUCUCUGUUUCAUGCUACUAAGCAAGACUAAGCUACGGGAGUUCUUUUCCUAAUUUCAGGGCGUCAGUGAGUUACCUGUUGUGCGUUAGUCCGAGGAAGAAGUAGAAGAAUUCGGCAGGUAAGAUAGAUCUUAGUAACCACUUCUGUGAAAGUUAUGAACAAGUCCGUAUUUAGUCCCAUACCCUGUGCUACCAUUCCUUGGAUUCGACUGUUCUUAGAUACUUUACCUCAGCAUUAGAAAAGAGCUUGUUUCUAUCUACGAUAUUCUGCACUUAGUUGUCGGUUCAUAAAAUAGAGUGAGAGUAUAAAGGUGAAGGAUCAGAAACGGAAUAGGGAUCUUCAGCUGGUAAAGAAGAGUAACAAGCAUAAUUAGGAUAAGAUUCAAAAGAGAUAAGGGAUGCUAUGUCUUUUCUUGCUUCUCAAAUAAUAUUUCUAGUGGAAUUCUAAGAUAGCUAAUUUCUAGUGGAAUUCUAAGAUAGCUAAUUUCUAGUAGAAUUAAUAGUACCCGUAAAAUCAUAUUUGAUAGUAGAAUUCUGACUUGAGAGUUUAGAGGCGCUAACGGAUCCAGUUUUGAAGCAAGUAACCGACUCGGGAAGGUAGCUCCCUCAGACAUGCUUUAUGAACUUACUAAAGAGAACAAAAGGGGACUCAUGAACUCCUUAGUAUAAACAAUGACUUUAAUCCCCCCGGCCCGGUUGGAGACUUUUCGACACCUUUACGAAAUUCUAUAUCUGGUGCUAAAGAGAUUCAAUGGAAUUAGAAAACUUUCACUCACCUUGAUGAAUCUACUUCACUGUAAACACCCUUUCCUAACUUGAUAACUGGAACAAUCAAAACUACUGAUCUAAAGAGUUCAAUACCGGUAAGCAAACUCUAUUCUCUACUUCCCGACCUCUGGAAUCACUACACUCCCUACGAGGAAAAACCGAUGAAGAACAGGCGCUCUUUCCACUAUACAGACACAAAGGAAAAAAGAUUGGAUAACUGAUCUGAUUCAACUCGGGGGGAAGCUGUUCUAAAGUCUGUUACUUGCUGUGCGAGGAAGGAGUGACUUUGCGGUGUGAAAGCUGGGUCAAAGGAAGCAGUUAGAGCUAAGUCGUAAAGAGAAGAAAGAGAAUUGUGAUAGUUUCAAGAAGUAGGUGGAGUGGUCCAGAGGCCUUAUAGUAAGUUGCCCUAACUGUAUUUGUAGCCUAGGAGCCAUAACUGUAGUAGUUAACAGAGGUGGAUGAGCAAGAGGUAUACACUUAGUAUUCCAAGUAGGAAAGUGAGAAUGAAACAAGCUGAGGGCAACUAUGAACUUCAUUGAAUCUUUCUCUAGAUCCUAUAACUCUACUCAGCGUGUGCCCUAUUCAACCCUUUAAUCAUGCCAUUUGAAGCGGGUUUGAUCUCUUCCUAAGGGAUUUGUAAAAGUAGUGGAAUGAUUUGUUGAAUGUGAAGGAAAGCUGUCUGCAGUGAGAGUUUUCUCCUUAUCCUAGUAUUAGAGCGGGUCUUCAAGGGUAGUUGGCGAGAGGGAGGUGAGAGUGUCGGUUCAGAACUAACAGCAAGCAUCAAGUCUUGUUCUUGAAACUUGGCUUUCGACCUUUUCCUUUCUUUUCUGGCCCUUGUUUGGGGACUAUCCCUAUUUAGAAUAGAGUUCGGGUCGAUAACACACCUCUCGUUGGUUAACUAAACAGAUUGUUUGGUAAAGUAAAGUAGAAAGUUAGGGUCGAGUUCAGGGCAUCAUAUCUUACUUGCUUUGCAGCGGGAAGCUAUUCUUCACAGGAGAUGCAGCGGGAAGUCGCGGGGUAGCCAGGCCCAGUCAGCUUUAAUAUAAGGUCAAGUCCAGCAUUUGAUUCCCGAGUUGCCCCUGUGCCCCGAGUUGCAUCUUUCAUCUUUAUUAUAUGAGUGCAAUUUCUCGUUUCAUCCCGAGUUGACCACUGUAGCUAUUCCAUCUCAAUGACAAUUGAACUACACUUGGAACUUAACCUCGUCUCUUUGAACUCACCCCUCAUAAGCCAAAGCAAGGAGUGAUUAAUAUUCUUCCCUUCCCGAACUUGGCUUGAGUACUGCUCCUGUUCUUGUUUAAUGCCGAGUUGCAUCAGUAUUUGUUCUUGUGUCGGGUAGGGUGAACACUUAUAAGAGUUAGGGUAGGGUUCCGGGCAGAAUCAUAAUAUCUUAUAGGCGAUGAAGCGGUCAGUUAAGAGUUUUGUUCUUUUACUAGAUUAAUUAGUAUAGGAGUUGUGUUCGGGAGCCUCUUUUCCUUGGUUACUUCUUUCUAUUAUAUUGGAAGAAAAGGAAGAAACAUGACGAAUAUGUACACAAGCCUAACUAGUAUGUAACAGAGCCAAUCCACGCUAAGCUGCGGGACAAACGGAAGUUCAGUUACCAACAAUAGAGGAAGCCGGGUAUGGUCUCGCUUAUCUUAGUUGGGCAGCAGUUCAAUUGUUCCUGAGUGAACCUGUCUUUAUAGCGGUAGUGAGCGGAAGGGGUUGGCUAAAGUCAAAUCAGUAGAUUAUAGGUCGAGUGCCAGUACCUCAUUUCAAAGGAAGGAGUGCUAGGUUCGCGAGAGGGAUAUGGAACUAGUGGUAGCUGGGUAACGAAACUAGUAAUUGCUGGGCCCUUAUUCUUUUAGUAUUCUACUUACUGACUUACUUGCCUUCUACUGGAUGCGCUAGAUGAAUACCCUUUCUGGAUUUCUUUCUUCUGGAUCUGGAUCCGAAUCAAUUCUUUUUGGCGGACUCGGUUGUAAACAAACUUGCUUAUUGACCCACAGAGCGGGGUGCUAACUAAUGUGAAUGAAGAAAUAAAGUCAUGGUUGACUUCCCUGACAAGCGCCAAUAACCGAACCACGUCUACAAAAUGCCAGUACCCAGCUGCUACUCGUACUAUCUUUUUUCUCUUCACUUGACUUCCCCGAACUAGACUUUCCUCGCGCCUCAAGAACAAGACUUUCCUCUGCCCCGAACCCUACUUUAUGUGAAGAAUGGAAUGUUGUCCACCAAUUAUAGAAUCUAGUAACUUCAAACUCCGACUCCUGCUCCAACUCAAUAUCUUGCUGGUUUUUGAGAUCUUCUUGCUGGUUCUUUAGAUCCUGCUCCUUCUUAUGAUCCUGCUCUUGCAAACACAUUAAUAAGUCUUUGGCCUGCACAGUGUUUAGUCACUAGCCCUACCCUAGCCCCAAUUGAAUAUUGAACAUAUGAUAGAGCUGCAUAUGAUAGAACUCUGAACUUGAGAGGCUUUCAGCACCUUGCUUUAAGAAGAGAAUGGAGGCAUCUAAUUAGGACUUACUCAUAACUCGUAGGAGACGAAGAAAGGACUUGUACCACAGGACUACUCGACUACUUACUUUAUAACUACGGAUUCUCUGGUCGACCACACCUCGCUUCACUUCAUAAGUACUGAAUUCUGCACUUCCCUUAGCAUUUGUUAGUGGUCUGGUCCAAGAGAUUAGCUGUUUCAUCAAUUCUCUUUCUUAUGAUUCAACUCGGGGUGCCGACCUAUCUUUAAUUCAAUACCAGAUGCGGCAGAUUGGGAAUACACUAACUAACAGGAAAAGGCUUGUUCAAUUAGAAGUGUUCUACUAGAUGCGGUACCAAUUAUGUAUUAGGGCCAGCUCAAUAGAUCUUACCUCUGAUAGGGGAAUGCCAUGAGCUUAGGGAGUAGUAGAACCCAUGUUUGUUGCUGUUAAGGUAAGGCUCGGGUGCUUGUGUUAAGCAAGUAGUCAAUCUAUCACCUCAGUCCGCAUGUCCACUCCUAAAUUCCGUAUUUCUCUAUAUAUAGGAAACCCGAAGAAACAGAAUUAGGAUAUAGGUUAGGUUAGAGAUAUAAGCAGGAGCUAGAUCAGAUACUUAAUGAGAAGAUAGGUAUGGUAUGAGAUAGAAGCAGGAGUGGAAUAAAGAGCAUGGAACAGGCAACGCAGGAAAAGGCGACUGUAUUGACUGGCAAGAAAAGAAGAGAUGGAAAUAAGAAAGAGGCGAUGAACACAGGACAGGGUCGGUUAGUAACAUAGUAGAUCAUGCAUGCCUAGCUCCAGCCUAUUGAAAGGGUAACUAAAGUACUGGUUUCUUUCUCGCCCAGCUUCUUUUGCCUUUGUAGUAUACGCUUGGCCUGUCACUCCGGACUCCUUUACGAGUAGUAGCUUGGCUCUUUCAUUCCUACUUUACAGAGAGCAAGAGGGAGAGUUAGUUCGGGUCAGAAAGGGAAGCAGUGUUCUUAAUAAGAAGAAAGGGAACCAGUUCAGUAACACCUGAUUGAGAGUGGCUUGGCUCCUAGUUUAGAUUGAGAGUUUCAUCCCCUUAUAGUAGUAUAGUAGUCCAGGAGUGGAAAUAGAAAGAAAAUCCGUAUUUGUUGACAGAGGGGUAUAUUAGCCAGCUCAUUAGCCAGAGGGGCAUAUUAGCCAGAGUUAGGUUAGUUGAAAGAGCAAGAGAUUCAAUAAGGUAUUAGUUGAUAAAGAAGAGCAAGUAGAAAGGGAUGCUUCAAGUCCUGUUUCUCAGUGAAUAGUUGACAGAGCCUAGCCUGUAGUUGGUGAGUUUCAUCCUAACUAAAGAGUGGAAUCCCCAGUUCCUGCUCUUGUUUAAUACCUUGUUUAGUUUGAGUAUUUGUCUGUUCUAUAGGUAUUGUAUUACUUUACUGGGUUGACAAGAUUGAGUGGAGGUGGACUACUGUUGCUUGUUCAAUAAGCCUUAGUUCUAGUGAUUUUGCCUUACUCUGGCUCUUUUCACUCAAACAAAACUUUCAACGGGCUCCUGCCGCACAAUUGGAAACCCUAUUUCGGUAUGAUUUUGGAUACUCAGUGAGUGAACCCUAAAUCAGACUACUAGUACAUACCACUGCAUAAGUCUCUUUUUGUAGGUUACUUACCACCGCAUAAGUCUCUUUUUGUAGUUCGAGGUUUAGUAAAAGCAAGAAUUCCACAUAACGUAGUUCAAUUGUCUAAGUUCGUUUCUAGGGUUGGCUAAAUGUAGUUGCCUGUCUGCUUGGUUCUUUGUUUCAAUGGUUUAGACCCGGGAAGUAGUUCGCUAACGGGAACAGAGUUGAUAGGUGCAUUCCCAUUUAUUUGAUAGAACAUCCAGUUAAGAAAUUGAUGUUAGAGUUGCGCCAGGGCAAAUAGUAGUAGCUCUAAGUCUAGGAAAGUAGUACUUUUGUUAAGCAAUGAAGGUGUAGAUAGAAGUUCAGACUCCAAUGUUAGGGUCCACUGGGUUGGUCAAGAGCGCUAGGUUCGUUGCCCGCUUCCAUCUUACAUGGCCUAAUUCCUAUGUUUCUUCAGUUGAAACUGCUGUUCGAGUCUUACUCUAUUAUAAAUCAAAUAGAAGUUUGACUUUAAGCCGAGAAGAAGGGAAAGUAAGGUUAGCUAGCUGAACUUCAAGUUGAGGUCGGCUAGGGAAGCUGUUAAGUAAAGAAAAGGAAGCAGUCAAGUCUGAAGUAGAGGCCAGCAGGAAGGUCAGAGUGAGAAGCACCAGCGAGAGUAUUAUUGGCAUUGGUCAUAUGCUAGUCAAACCUUAGAAGCGGUGUGAGCGUUAGGGGUUCUUUUGAUCGGUGGUUUUAUUCCAAGUUGAUAGUUGAAAUACGAAUUUCCUUAUAUCAAUUCCGAGUUGCCUACUUGAUUGAGAGCACUAGAACUAGGUCGGUUGGUAAGAAAGAGCUCAUCAGCUGUUAUCAAGUAAUCUGUCUUAGCGCGCCAAUAACUAUCCUUGAUGAUCGAUUGCUGCUUCCUUGCGCACAGCUUAGCUUCAUCUGUAUUUGUUGUAUGAGUAGCUGGGCUUGGCCCGGAGCAUAAGUUGAGGUCGAGUGCGCGUUGAAUUGCCCGGUAGUCUAGGUCAAGUUAAAGUUUCAUCCCAAACUAGUAGUUUCGUAGUUUAAUAAGUAGUAGUAGCAAGAGGAGAGAUAUUCUAGUUUACAGAGGAGAGGAAGCUGUUUCCAGAGCUAGAGCUGGUAAGGAAGCUGUUUCAAGAGCGGAUAAGGAAGCCGGAGAGGAGGAGUUUCAUUCAAUACUGCAGGCACCUGAGUUAGGUUAGUAUUGAUUCUAUUUCUAUUCUGACUUCCUGAGUGGAAGACCAGUUAGUAGAUCCCCUAUUCUUAUGAGUAGUGGUAGAGAGGCCUCUCUAAGAAGUUUCGGGAAGGGAGUUAAUCACUAGGGAGUGAAAGAGUUAAGAAAGAGGAAUUAGUUUACAGAGCCUAGCCAGUAGUUUAUCUGUGGAAUACCGAGUGGAAGCCUAAGUGAAGUACCAUACUAUUUCUUCAUUUGCUAUGAAAAAACACGGGUUUCUUAAAAAAGAGCAUUUCAAUGGAACCCCUCAGGAGGCAAAACUCCUUUGCGUCUAUUUUUCCCGGGAAAACGCAAAAAAGGAAUGACUUUGGACCUCGUUAGUAGGUAAAAUGACCUUGCUACGAAAAAACACGGGGUUUCAUAAAAAGAUCAUGAAAUUAGACCUCGCUAUUAGCUAAAAUGGCUUCACUGCCAAAAAAGCCGGGAAAACGCAAGAGGAUCUGGUCUUGCUCAUAUACGGCUACAAUUCCAUACUCCCCGCUUCUGCUCUACUUCCUACUCCUGGCCUGGGAAAAAGGCUGUUUUUGUCGUCGUUGCUUGCCGGGUAUCAAGUAUAAACCUUCAAGUGGUAGUCCUGCUUAAUCAGUAUUUGUUAGUUGACAGAACUAGAUGGAGAGUGCUUUCCGAGUCAGUGAUCUCUAGGAGGUCGGGUGUUUGACUUCAAGUGGAAUCCCUUCCCUAUUGGGGAGACAAUAAGGCUUCACCGAGUAUACGAGUAGAGCCAGAGAGAUAGUAUGAGUUUACAGAGGAGGGGCGAGGAAUAGAAGUAUUGAUUGGCAAGAAGUAGAGGAGCCAUAGGUAAUAUAUAGGAGAGGAGCCUAGCCUAAUGAAGUUAAUAGUAACCCGAGAAUAAGUAGUGACAACAGAAGUCCGCCUGUUUUCAUUCAGAGAUCGGGGCAGAGUUGGAGGGUAAGUUGACGUUUAAGAAUGAUUUGUAGGCCAGUUGACAGAGGGGAGAGAGGCAAGCUAGUCCAGUAGUAGAGUAGUUGGCUUUGAAGCAAGCUUUAGUGUAGUGGUAAAGUUCAAUCCGUAUUUGUUAGUUUACAGAGGUAGAUGAGACUGUAGGUCUGUUAUGAUUAUUAGUAGGAAUACCGGGUAGUCCUGUGAGAGUGUAAUCCCCUGUUGCAUUCUUUGCCAGUAGUUAAGAGUCGCUAGUGGAAUACCCAACCAGUAUAGUAGUAGUUUCAUCCCCUGAAUUAGUUGUUGCAUCCCAGGGGUUAGGAGUGGAAUCCCUUUAUGCUCCUGUUCGAGGUCAAGUUUCAUCAGUAGCUGAGGCUUCCAAUCUAGUAAUUGAACUCAGUAGUGAAAGAAUGAAACAAGUACCAAUCAGACCCCAACUGCAGCUUCCAAGCCUUCAACUGGAUCCGAUCAGACUUAAAGCAAGGGUAGUUACAGACUAAGACAACAGCUGCUCGGCCUACUACUGGUGCUGCUCAGGCCUAUGUUGGGUAGUUACAGAAUCAACCCUAUUCUUCCCUUGCCCACCGAUUGACCGAUGCUAUAGUACCUAAGUAGUAAGAUCAGAAUGAAACUAUUGGGUGUAAGCCUUAAGGGUUAAAUGAGAUGAGAGCCAUAGUUGAUGAGAUGAGCCAGAGUUAAAUGAAACAAAAACAGCCUUUUUCCCGGGUUUCUUAAAAAAGAUCAGUGAAAAUAGGUGAUCUAGUAGUUCCUUGUCUGUUUGACUCGGUCCUCUUAGCAAGAGAUAGAAUGAUGGUUUGACUUCUCGGCCCAGACUUCAAGCACUAACUCCAAAGCUGAUGCGGUGUCUAGGCAGAAUGCAACCGGUAUGUACGAGAAUAGAGCUCCUUUUCGAGUGAGAGUUGAUAGUAGAAUGAUUUGGUAAGCGAGCCCAGCCCAGUUGCAUCAGUAUUAGGGGCAGUAGCAUCUGUCUUUGUAGCAAUAGGAGUUAAUGACUAGGGAGUGUUACCAGAUUGGAUUCUAUAUUACCUGGCUCAGGCUUAUGUUUCUCACCUUGGAAAACAAGAAAUGAGAAAGAACAAAUAAAGUAGAAAAGUCGACAAGGCUGCCGCGCAACUUACGUAGUUGCUUGGCCCCAAUCACUACACAAACAGUAGGGGAAAAUCUAUAUCCAAAUAUCUUAUAUUAUUAAAGAAACUAGAUUGAACUAGAGAAAGAAACCGGACUAUACUAGGGACGAAACUGGGCCAAGAGAACCCUAUUGAUUUUAGUGAUAAAUUACCUUUUUGCCCCUACGUCGGUUUGCAAUGUAAUAUUUCCUAUAAAACGAAAUAAGAUGCGUUCUAGCUCCUUUUAUGCCCCUUUCUUGCCUGUCCUAGCUAUAGCAACAGUCUCAAAUCCUCUGUGCUAAGGGCUGUGCUAAGUGAGUAGUUAAGGGAGUGAAGAGUUCCGGAAUUGAGUUCUUGUGAGCAACUAUUAAGUCGGAGUGAGUGAAAAAGUAAACCCGGGGAUCAACAGUAGGAGUGAGUUCAAAGAGAAUUGGAAUUACUAUAAGGUCCAGGUCGAGUUCUUGUUUAAUACCGAGUGGAACUCCAGGCUGGGAGUACGGAAUGGAAGAAUGGAACUGGUUGGUGAGCAGGAGAAUCUUUAGUUUCAAGAGAAGGAAGAGGUGGGUUGAGAGGUACGUAAAGAAGCAAGUUCAGGAGCAGAUUCCGGAGGAGAGGGUACCCGAGUAGCAGAGUAGUUGCAUCUGUCUUAGUUGACAGAGGCGAUUCACUCUUUAUUUGUUGCCAGAGGUAUAGAUGCGGAAUUGCUGUAAAUAGGGGUAAGUGAGUGAAGUAAACAAUAGCUGAGUAGCGGAAAGUAGGUGCUCGCCUGUAAAAGGAAGAAGAAAGUACUGGCUUUGAGGCUCGGUAAAGUACUGGCUUUUCAGCGGGAAGGAGCCUGAGCUAAACGGUAGCGAGUUAAAGACUGACGAGUGCAAUUCUGUAAUUCCACCCCUAGGUGCUUGGCCUUUCCCUCUUUAGUAUCAUUCUUUCCCUCCUGAGUUCAAUUUCAGUUAAAGGAGAGUUCGAUUACUUAUUGGGCAGUACAUCUUUCUCUUUCUCGUCUCCAGGACCUCUGUGAAACUCUUCUUAUAGCUCAUCCUUCUUUUAUUCAUUUAAGACCGACCGGGAAAAGUCAUAAGUUUGCUCAGCUUUGCUUGUGCCAUGUGAUCUAACGUUUCUGCUUGCGUCUUAGCUUGUUUCUUACUACGUAGCUUGUUCCGUUCCUAGUUUACCCGGCGCUCGACAAACAUAUUCCUUCAGUAUAGUCUCCUUAUGGUUUAGGUUAAGUAUAAAGUUUAGUAUCAAUAAAAGUGAUAUUGUAUAUAUAAUGGAUAUAAUGAUAUAUAAUGGAUAUAAUGGGGUAAUCUCAAUAAGAUGAUUUUCUUAAGAAAGAUUCCAUUCUUGAAUUCCAGGAGAGUUGGGAAGUAACGCAAAAGGCAAGCAUUGAGUUUCUAAAAAGGUGAGCUCCGUUAUCGCCCCAAGAGAGUAAGCAGUCUGGCGUAACUAGAAUAUGUGCAAUGAAAGCUGUCAGUGUUGUUAUCGACCUUAUAUAAAUUGUAAGUUAGAUUCCAUUCAACAAACUAGGGAGCAAGCCCCGAGAGCAAUCCUAAGUUAGUUCCUCCUUGCUUGUCGAGUUCUUAGCAUCUGAUCUUGAUCCUUUUCUGUCUUUGCUUACCACAAUGCAAGAACCAUAUAUCUAUGACUUAGAGCUAGAGCACCAACACUGGAACCAGCGAGCUAGAGCGGGACAAUGACUGUAUACCGCACAUCUGACUCUCGCCAUUAACAUAAGGGCUGCUGACUCACAACUUUCUUCCUUGACUCCAAAGCUCACAGCUGACUCACAUGAUACAGCAACUGAUCCUACUCCUGAUAAAGGAGACUCAGACAAAACUUUAGUGGACCUCGCUAAGGCUUAUUCAGAUUCUAUUGGGCUUGGCAAUACUUAAUGCUUCCUUCCUUCCGAGAACUAGACUGUAUUUAUUAUUCCUCUUCCCAUUCUCCAGAUAUUUCUUAUUUUGAUCUCGUGGACAAUAAGGGUAAAGCGCCAAUAACGGAUUGAUUUUAUGCUUCAACUUACUAGAAGGGCCUUGCCUCUCCUCUUGGGGCUGUAAACCUGGACUACUACUUUCCUUGUCAACUUAAGAUCAAACUCGGGAUAUUCCACUCGGGAUUGCAUUUCUUCACUUCAAGGACAAGAAAUAGGGAAAUCAAGAAAUCAAUCCAGUGCGGGUGUCAAUUCCAUCCUUAUUUUGCAGGUGUCCAUUCAAUCCUUAUUUCUCAAUAAGAGGGGUGGUGUGAUGUUUCUCAAUAAGAGGGGUGUUGUGAUGUAAUAGAUAUAGGUUGGGUGCCCAGUCUAGUAUGGUGACUUGUUAGGCUAGGCUUAGGCUAGUUAACUGACUUUUACUGGGCGAGGGUAGUAGACUUACUUGACACUAUAGGUUUUGGUGAAGUGGAAUUAGUUGCAUCCCGAGUGGCAUCUGUGUUUGUAUACGUGACUUGGCCCGGGUACAAUGUAGUGCAUCUACUAUACUAACAUCUACUAUACUAACAUAGAAUAUACAAUCUAUAAGAAUAUACAAAAUAGAAUCAUAAUAUGGGUACGAUCUAGCACAACUACUAAUGAGAAAAAACCUACCCACUCCAUUAGACCUAAGUACAUUUCACUAGGUGCGCACAAAGCUAACAAGAAAGAAACUAGUCACAAUAAUAAUGGAAAUAGGAAGAAUAAAGAAAUAGUAUAUGGGCUAGGGCUUUCACAGCUAAUAGUGAUCCUAAUAGGAGUCGUUUCUCAGAGUCAUUAGAGCAAAAAGCAGUCCAAACCACUGCUAUUGUUUGUAUCUUUUAUCUAUGUGCGGGUGCGAUGGGCCGUUAAUGGGUGAUGCGAGGACUGUGUGGUGUCUAUGUAAGGUCGAUCCGGUGUCCAUGUAAGGGUGUUUGUUUGGGCAAUAGAGAUAGGUUUGGAUUGACUCUCGGCGGGGUGGGGCAAGCUUCCAACUAUUUGAGAGUUAUGACCAGACAAGCGACUACUACUGUUGCGCGCCCUUAUUGUAAGUUGAAGCAAGGGAAAAGAUAGUCAUUAAUAAGAUCAGGUCUAAAGAAAAGAAAAGAAAUGAGAAAAUGAGAAAAGAAGGAAAAACAACCGGAGGCAAGAGAAGAGUAGAGUAGUCCAGAUCCGAUACCUCUUCUAUCGACCCUACUUUUGAUCUUCUAUUGACCCUACUUUUGAGUGGAAUUCUGUAUUAGUUGACAGAGAAGAAUGAAGCGGGAUAGAUCUAAUCUAGCGCAUUAUCCUAUUGAUUUCUCUUGCACCCUGCGCUUAUCUUAGUUGGGCAGCAUCGGCGGUAUAGUUGACUUUCUUCUACACUCUGUCCAUUCCUUAGUUCAUCCUGUAUUAAGGGCGGCAGCCCCUCGUAUCUGUCUCAUCUGUCCAAGCCGGUAGGUGCCAGGAAAGCAGUCCGAAUACUUUCCACUCGAAGAAUAAUCCUUAUAACAGGAAAUUCUCCACUUCCCACUGCAGAUCAAGAAAACUCCCCGUCAAUUACUUCCCGCGCAUACUAUACUGAAACAUAAGUCACUCACUACGUAUAUACUCCGUUAGCUAAACAUAAGUCACUCACUACGUAGCAGAGCGGUUAGGGCUUUAUACGCAGCACCCAACCCAUAUCUAUUAUAUUAUACUAUAAUGAUACCCGAUACCCACUCGGGCGACUAUUUCACCCCACCUCAGGCAACAAUACCUGUGGUCAUCUAUCAAUUCCAAUUCUUAUCUUCUUAUAGGAUAGGACUUCACUACAUCAGAGGUUAGAUUAGAUGCCCGGGGGCUUCCCUUAUCUUGAUUCUCUUGCGCCUGUACUGUUACUGAUGUAUCUGCUCUAACAGCUGACCGACCCUAUUGCUUCUAUAUGUCUCUUUCGAUUACCUAUUUCUAUUCUAACUGUUUCCCAAGCCGGCCUAUCCUCUGUAAACUCAUGCUUAUUGAAACAAGCAAAGCUGCUGGCUCUGUCAACUACUACAGUUCAAAGAGCUAACAACUCGUAUACUAGUUUGGGAAUCCACUAACUACUACUGAUUCCACAGCUGACCUUGCAGACCUAGACUCUAACUUACCUCGAACAGGGGCAAGCGUAUACUAUACUACAGACCAAGCAACGAGGCAAGUCACACCACACCGGUCCGGCUACCAUUAGCUAUCAGCCAAGUCCUAAAACCUUUGAGUGAACCGAACCCCAUAAUAGGCGCACCCGAGCUCUACUUUGAGAAUAGAAAUAGAACAGUCAACUCCCUUAGCGCAACAGUAACUCGUUAGCGAGCUGGACCUUCUUCUUCCUGGAACAACUUACCAUAAGGGCCUCGUAUAAGUGUUAACACCGAACCGAACUCUCUAAUAAGUUUCGGCAAGGUAGACAAUAAGUGACUUUCUGGAACUAGACCUGGACUCUUAUCUAACUCAAUGAAUUUCUUUGAUACCUGCAUUCGGCUUAGCUAACUCAGGCUACAAUAACUAUCUUCUGGCUAUGGCUACAAAGUGUUCCAAUUCCAUUCUUUAGUGCACUACCGGUAAGUAAACUAACUACUGUAGAAAAGAAAGAAACUACUCGAUCGAUUCUGCACCCGACCUAAACUCGUAUACAAGGGGAAAGCUCGACCCUAACUCUCCUCUGGCUCAUCCACCUCUUACCUAUGGCUUGGCUCACCACUUUCUUUCUUUCCGAUUCCUCUGUCAACUAAUUCUGAUUUCAAGAGCUAUACCUCUGUCAACUAACAAACACAGAUGAAACCGGGGAUUCUUACCUUCACCCGGGCAAGCUAGUACUAACGACUAAGGCCUACCGGUCUGAAACUCGUCAAUAAAACCCGUGUUUUUGGAUAGCGACUCUGGUUUCCCUCCUGAACCGAUCCAAUCCAAUUCACAUUUGACGUUUUCCCGGUAAAAAAGGUAGCGAAGUCUAGAACUCCUGCCGCGUAACAUUAGCAGUUACUUGGCCCUUCCUGAGGUACCUUAUUGAUCCUCAACUUUUCCGUUUUCCCGGGAAACAGCGCUGGCGCGUAACAUUAGUAGUUACUUGCCGGAUAGCAAAUAUGGAAAUUGGAUAGGACUUGAGUUGGGAUGGAAGUCAACUUUCCUCGCACUGGUUCCCUUGCCCACCUCUGUUGGAUUAUACCUUGCAUACCUAGAGUCCCACUCUCAGUACUUAUGGCGGAAAAGCCCUUCUUGAAAACUUCCACUCGUGUUAGCACUUAAAAGCCAGAGUACAACACUAGAACAGCGGAUUCUGAUCUUGAAACGGAAACUACACUUUCUGCUCUAACUGCUGACUUAGCGGGGGAAGGAGUGUACUCACUCCAAUGCUUGAAAGGUAGAGUUUGGUAGCGAGUGAAGUCCUAGAGCUAGGAGUGGGCAGUAGUUAAUAUCCUAUAUAGGAAGAGUCUAAAGCAGAUGCAGUUUACAGAGAAUUGGCCUAUAAAUCAGCUAAGGACAGGUAAGUAAAGGGCCUAUAAGCUAGUUCUGUUCGAUCCUGUUUAAAUCCCACUUACUUUAUGAGUCAUGCAUUUCUCAGCGAUCAAGACAUAUAGGUAGCACAUCAUCUAAUAAGGAAAGGAAUUCUUAUUGGCCCAGUUCACCCCAGUAUUUGUUAGGGGAGCCCGUUAAAGCAAGAUAGGCCGGCCGAUCUCAGGAAUGGAAAUUGUAAACUCAAGAAGAUAAGCAAAUAGACCCGGAGGAAUGAAAUGGAAACCCAGUAAGGAGUCAGCAAUACAAGAAGACUCGUUGUUUACAUAGUGACAUAUUGAUAUGCCUCAGAUUCCAUUCGUGAACCAACUAGCACAGAAUUGAGAAAAUACUGCGAAAAUCCUUCCGAAGCUGAGGUAGGAGAGGAUACCAGUAAGUAUUUCUUCUUGUAUUUAGCUUUCUUACGCUGGCUUUAGUAAUGUGCUCUUCGGGUCUUUCUUCUUGUAUUUAUUAUGCCAAUUCUUCUUUGCCGAUCCGAUUGAGCGUUAGCCAUUUGGUUUGCCCACUCUGCGAUCCACUUUUACACCGUAUAGUUUGAUUAGUAUAUUCUGCGUUCUGUGUUCGAGAGUCUUAUUUAGAACUACUUAAGGCUAAUUAAGACUAUCAAAAGAUAUGGAAUAUUGGAACUCCUCUUCUCUUGGCAUUCCCUCCAUUGUACUUUACUAGCUUAGGAAGUCUGGAUUCAAGCGGUUAUUAGAAGAUCCCCUUCCAUCAGGCUUUCCUUAUUAACCCCUUCCAUCAGGCUUGCUUUCCUUAUUAAUAAGAUAAAGAGGUUCGGUUCCAGAAUAGACGUAAACUACAUUGCUGACUAUCAUAUCUUUGGAUCUUGAGCCAGCUUUCACAUCAGGCAGCUUUUGAAUAAAAGAGAUAGAAAGCACAUCCCCUAUAAUUGAAUAAAAGAGAUAGAAAGCCGCUAAUUGUGGGGACAAAACACUAGCCAAGCAACUACUAAUGUAUAGCGGUAGCGAGUGAAACUCCCUUGACGACCUCUGUUUAAGAAUACCAGUUAGCCGGCAACCCUUAUUAGAAUCCGUCCAAGAAUGAAAACACUAACUAGAUGUGACCUCUCCUCUUGCAACAAACACAGAUGAAACUACAAUACUACUAGUUAGGGCUGUAAACCUAGCUAAAUCCUCUUCUCCUACUUGUAAACUUAAGACUCACUGGUUUCGGGAGCUAAACUGUGACUAGAUACUUAGUUUAGUCUAACUCAGGCUCAUCUCUGAUAACUUCAUUCUUAUCCUACAAGAGAACUCGGGUUGGUGCUCUAGAACACGGGACAGGACUCCUAAAGGUAAGAAACUACAAAGGCAACCGAGCCAAGCCAACAAGCAGACAGAACAGAUUUGCUAUCAGGCCAAUAUCAUCAAUUACAGAGUCGCUAGUUGCAUUCUGUUACUACCCAGUUUCAUUCUGAUCUACUACCCUUGGGUGCGGGUUUCUGAUAAUACUAUGAUAUUCUUAUACUGACUACUAUCAUUCAACUUUACUACUACCACUGCUAUAUGAAUUCUUUGACUACUACUAGUUCUAUUACUAUAUGCGGGCAAAGCAACUACUUGUUUAUAACCGUACAAGCAGACAAGUAACUACAUAAAUGCAUUCUAAGGGCCAACACCAGACCAGACUUUACUUGAGAUCUUACGUUUGAUACCGGAAUGAGGCUUAUCUAACUCAAUUGAUUUUAUGCCUUCUCUGUAGUAGUGGAAUGAUUUGACUCGCGAGUUGUUGUUAGAUAGAGUUGAUUUCAACAGGCUCCUGCCGCGCAACAUUAGGAGUUGCUUGGCCCUUCCCUUUGUUUGAAAAGAGCUAGAUUCUCUUCCUUCCUCGGGACAAUCAGUAAAGUGACCAACUUCUCUUGCUUCUGCUUUAGCCUCCUUUCCCUUUCCACCCUAACCUGGACUCCCGGUCUGAAGACUCUAACCAUUAACAUAAGGGCUGGACUACAACCCCACCCAGCUGUCAACUAAUACUACAAAUACUGAUUCAACAAAGAAUUCCACACUGGGGGCCAGUACUAUCUUUCUCUUCUGCCUCACCUCUUGCUUAUCUACCGUAGUAAACAAAUUCCAUGAAAUUCUGAAAUUCCACUAUACUUACUGGCUUGAAAAGAGGGGAAGGAAUACAACAACUAUACUUACUGGCUUGAAAGGGCAGGAAUGCAAGUCUAUUUACUUGAAAAGGCAGGCAGGAAUUCCACUAUACUUAUUGGCUUUAAAAGACAGGCAGCUGUAAAGAUGGAUACUGGCUUAGACAGACUGGCGGAGACAGAGACAAGCUAGAGGAAAGGGCAAUCCUAUUAUUCACCAACCGACAUGCCCACUUACAGACUAAAGGACUUGAGGGAAGACAAGGCUUUACGACUGGUUUACUUAAUCAAGCCAUAUCCUACUUCCAUGACAGACAGACUAGAUAGACAAAUAUUGCCACAGGGAACAGGGGGAUAAGGAAGAGCUGACUUCUUUCUUCACUAACCCUGGCUUUCCUUUGUCCCUUGCUUUAACUAAUUCCUAGUUAUGGGGUAUGGUAAGUCUGCCUAUUCGUAGACAACACCUUUAUGAGGUAUGGUAAGUCUGCCUAUUCGUAGCGCAAGGGAACAAGUACCGUCCCUAAGUGCGUUAGCGAGCUUAGUACGAAGUGUGACCCUCUUUCUUCUAUUAUACCUAGCACGGGGAACAAGAAUGAUUCUUUAUCCGAUGCCCCAGAACUUGACUUUACGCGC